CCGUUAUAACCGGCGAUACCCGAAUGGGGAAACCCAGUGUGACUCGUCACACUAUCAUUAACUGAAUCCAUAGGUUAAUGAGGCGAACCGGGGGAACUGAAACAUCUAAGUACCCCGAGGAAAAGAAAUCAACCGAGAUUCCCCCAGUAGCGGCGAGCGAACGGGGAGGAGCCCAGAGCCUGAAUCAGCAUGUGUGUUAGUGGAAGCGUCUGGAAAGGCGCGCGAUACAGGGUGACAGCCCCGUACACAAAAGCGCAUGUGCUGUGAGCUCGAUGAGUAGGGCGGGACACGUGGUAUCCUGUCUGAAUAUGGGGGGACCAUCCUCCAAGGCUAAAUACUCCUGACUGACCGAUAGUGAACCAGUACCGUGAGGGAAAGGCGAAAAGAACCCCGGCGAGGGGAGUGAAAAAGAACCUGAAACCGUGUACGUACAAGCAGUGGGAGCACCCUUUGGGUGUGACUGCGUACCUUUUGUAUAAUGGGUCAGCGACUUAUAUUCUGUAGCAAGGUUAACCGAAUAGGGGAGCCGGAGGGAAACCGAGUCUUAACCGGGCGUUAAGUUGCAGGGUAUAGACCCGAAACCCGGUGAUCUAGCCAUGGGCAGGUUGAAGGUUGGGUAACACUAACUGGAGGACCGAACCGACUAAUGUUGAAAAAUUAGCGGAUGACCUGUGGCUGGGGGUGAAAGGCCAAUCAAACCGGGAGAUAGCUGGUUCUCCCCGAAAGCUAUUUAGGUAGCGCCUCGUGAAUUCAUCUCCGGGGGUAGAGCACUGUUUCGGCUAGGGGGCCAUCCCGGCUUACCAACCCGAUGCAAACUGCGAAUACCGGAGAAUGUUAUCACGGGAGACACACGGCGGGUGCUAACGUCCGUCGUGAAGAGGGAAACAACCCAGACCGCCAGCUAAGGUCCCAAAGUCAUGGUUAAGUGGGAAACGAUGUGGGAAGGCCCAGACAGCCAGGAUGUUGGCUUAGAAGCAGCCAUCAUUUAAAGAAAGCGUAAUAGCUCACUGGUCGAGUCGGCCUGCGCGGAAGAUGUAACGGGGCUAAACCAUGCACCGAAGCUGCGGCAGCGACACUGUGUGUUGUUGGGUA
rnacentral:rRNA from 2 species